CACAGAUGUGGAAAAUUCCCUGUAGUUGAAAAUAGUGUUGCUGAGCCGCAGGGUAAUUGGUCUUUGAAGUACAAAUGUGCAAACCUUUAUGAACUACAGGGUCCAGAGACUGUGGUGUGUCACAGCAACGGAAAGUGGUCCGACUUACCCACCUGCAGAGAAAACUUCUGCUCUGUGGACACUAACGUGGAACCUGACUUAAAAAAUACUGGAGUUUCUUUCUUAGUAAACGGAGAGACAAUGGAGCUUGCUUGUGAAGAUAAGUGGAUAUUUCCAAGCUUUGCUGUAUUCCAGUGCAAAGAUCUACAACCCAUUUUAUCCAGAUGUUGUAACCGUUUCCAAAUAAGUAUAGGUAUCUGCUGAGACCAGAUCAUGAAGAUGCUGCUUUCAGAUUUGCUGAUGAAAUGUCAUCACAGAAGACUUGAGACGAUCGGUUAUGAUCACGCCCUACGUAGCUUUUCAGUCUUAAUU